rnacentral:rRNA from 1 species
AUUGAACGCUAGCGGCAGGCCUAACACAUGCAAGUCGAACGAGUGGCGGACGGGUGAGUAAUGUCUGGGAAACUGCCUGAUGGAGGGGGAUAACUACUGGAAACGGUAGCUAAUACCGCAUAACAUCAGAUGUGCCCAGCGGGGAUUAGCUUGUUGGUGGGGUAAAGGCUCACCAAGGCGCCGAUCCCUAGCUGGUCUGAGAGGAUGACCAGCCACACUGGAACUGAGACACGGUCCAGACUCCUACGGGAGGAAGCAGUGGGGAAUAUUGCACAAUGGGCGCAAUCCUGAUGCAGCGAUGCCGCGUGUAUGAGGAAGGCCUUCGGGUUGUAAAGUACUUUCAGCGGGGAGGCGUUACCCGCAGAGGAAGCACCGGCUAACGCCGUGCCAGCAGCCGCGGUAAUAC